rnacentral:rRNA from 1 species
AGGCCAGACUUCUACGGGAGGCAGCAGUGGGGAAUAUUGCACAAUGGGCGCAAGCCUGAUGCAGCCAUGCCGCGUGUAUGAAGAAGGCCUUCGGGUUGUAAAGUACUUUCAGCGGGGAGGAAGGGGUUAAGGUUAAUAACCUUAGCCAUUGACGUUACCCGCAGAAGAAGCACCGGCUAACUCCGUGCCAGCAGCCGCGGUAAUACGGAGGGUGCAAGCGUUAAUCGGAAUUACUGGGCGUAAAGCGCACGCAGGCGGUCUGUCAAGUCGGAUGUGAAAUCCCCGGGCUCAGCCUGGGAACUGCAUUCGAAACUGGCAGGCUGGAGUCUUGUAGAGGGGGGUAGAAUUCCAGGUGUAGCGGUGAAAUGCGUAGAGAUCUGGAGGAAUACCGGUGGCGAAGGCGGCCCCCUGGACAAAGACUGACGCUCAGGUGCGAAAGCGUGGGGAGCAAACAGGAUUAGAUACCCCCGUACA